AUUGAACGCUGGCGGCAGGCCUAACACAUGCAAGUCGAGCGAGCGGCGGACGGGUGAGUAAUGUAUGGGGAUCUGCCAGAUAGGGGGGGAUAACUACUGGAAACGGUAGCUAAUACCGCAUACCAUAAGAUGAACCCAUAUGGGAUUAGCUAGUAGGUAAGGUAACGGCCUACCUAGGCGACGGUCCCUAGCUGGUAUGAGAGGAUGAGCAGCCACACUGGGACUUAGACACGGCCCAGACUCCUACGUGAGGCAGCAGUGGGGAAUAUUGGACAAUGGGGGCAAGCCAGAUUCAGCCAUGCCGCGUGUAUGAUGAAGGCCUUCGGGUUGUAAAGCACUUUCGGUCGGGAAGCGGUACCGACAGAAUAAGCACCGGCUAACUCCGUGCCAGCAGCCGCGGUAAUUC
rnacentral:rRNA from 1 species